UUUCCCUUUUCUGACUUGCUUUCCUUGCAUUUUUGUUAUGAUGAUCUAUGCGAGAUACUAGUUUGAUGACAAGGGGUUCCCAAACAUUAGUUUGUUUUGUACACCUUCGUUACACAAUCUAGAGUUUAGGGAUUCAAAUAAAUUCUAUUUUUUGUUAUUUAUUUGCUUAGAAGAAACAAUCAAUUGUGAUAAGCUCAAAAUUUAGAGGCAGUGGGCAAAAUGCACAAAAAUGGUCGUUAUCUUAUAAAUGUUUUUUGCUGGGAUAAACGAGGAAAAAUUGUUUUGUUGAAUGUUUGUUGCUUGAACCAAAUUGAAACUAAUUUUCAGACAUAGUUUAUAACCCGGUACCCUUUGCAUGUUCCCUUCUGGCAACUAGGGAUAUUCUUGUAUCAAUUAUGUUGCCAUUUGUGGUGUUAAAGAAGUACAAAAUUCUUUGGAACUAUGAAUAUGAAGUCUUGAGGCAGGCUACAAUUUAUGUAUGUAUCCGUUUUCAAUGACACAUGUUGGCUUUAUGCUUGUUCAUCGUAAUUCUUAUCAUUGAUGACAAAAAUAAUCAGAUCUCUUGAGUGGUGGAUGCAGGAUUCGAAUGAUUUUUACUCAGCAGGUGCCCAAAUCAUGUGCAUUUAUACGUUAAUAGCUUAAAAAUAUUAUCCAAAAAUGAUUGCUAUUAUCUAGUUCUAAGAAUGAGACGAAAUCAUGUGUAUAUUUGUAACUGCCAUUUCAUAUAAUACCUACGACCGAAAAAACAGUUUGUUACUUGAAAUUUUAGGAGGUUUUUUCACACAUAUAGGAACUUUAUGAACUUUUUUGUCCCUCGUGAGACUUGCAGGGGCGAUCAUAUAGAACUAUUUCACAUUAACCUCAAAAACUAGUAUGAUUAAUGGGAGUAUUCGGAGCAGGGGCCCGAGCACCCCCGAUGCUCUGGAUUAUCAAUGAAGGAAGCAUGAUAAUGUGCACAUAAAUUAAAUUGGUCUCUAGGCCUGCCCUCUCUGAUGCCAUUUGGCUUUGAUUUGGGGGCAUGGUUCCGCAGCAAAACAGGUAUAGGGGGGCCACUAUUUCAGUGGUAUUCUGAGAGCAGCUGCUUUGUGCAUAUUGCCAAAGGUUAGGUCUGUCUCCAAUCCUCUCCCGUCCAUACCCCCAAUGAUUGGGGACUACAUGGGUUCUGUUGUUGUGGUUUACUUGCUUAUUGCUUGGGUGUGUUUACGAGUGAACUUUAUGUUUUUUCGUAUUAUAUUUUGAAUAUAUAAAUCUUGACAAGUCUUAAAAGAAGAACCACCACUCUACUUGCUUUUGUGCACCAUGAAGUUUAGUUUUACCGUUUCUUGGCUGUGCUUGAACGUACUUCACUUUAAUUGUGAUAGUUUACUUAUCGUGAUGGGUCGUGUACAUAUUUUUUAAAUAGAAGGAAUUGCCAUCUAUCUAUGGGUCGUGUACAUUUUUUUUUUGUUUCCUAUUUAUAUAGAUACAUUAAAGAAUGAUAACAAACUAAAUUUUUAGUUGAUCAACUGAAGUCAAGCGAAUCGAGGCCAAUAUUGAUUAAUGACAUUAGUAAGGAGUAUAGUUCAGAUGUAGUUCAGAUGAUGCACAGGUCUCAGAGUACAACCUUUCAAUAACUUUUAACCAUGGAGCUGUUACGUUCUGCCUUCUAAUAAUCUUCCGAGCAAAGGAUUCAACUCUCUAUUCAACUCAACUCCCCUAUAGAUGCCAACCAACAUCACUUUCUCAAACUCCUUAAUAAAGCCAAUAUGAUUGCUUUAUGAGUGGCCAAUUUUCUUCUGUUGAUAUUUGUGAGCAAUUUCAGAACCAGGAUUCCAUUCUUCUUUUUUCCCCUUCUUAUUUGCCUUCGUUUAUGAACUAACUUUCAGCUGUUUUAGCUGUUCAUUUGAUGGUGCAAUCAGGUUUGGCAUAGAUCAUGCCCUUUUACUGUGGAUGUUUAGUCUUCGGACUUAUUUUAAUUACCGUUCUUGAUGAAUGUAGAAUAUGCUUAACAUUGAUUAUUUUUCAGUGGUUUGAAACGAGAAGGUUUGGCAUUACUGGGCUGAUAUCCUCUUUUAAGAGCUCAUCAUGCACAUGAUCCCAUCAUUCCUGUGACAUCAAGAUACUUGCUAAGGAAGAAAUUCAAAGAGCGAAAGCACAGCUGGAUGGGAAGAUAAAAGCUUUCGAUGAUAAAGCUGUGCAAGGUGUUGAUGAAGAACCGGGAAAGAUGGUGAGAACAACGGAAACUUGUGACAUUCUCGAUUGACCUUCGAUUCUCGAAUAUUUUGUUUCUUAUGAACCAAAGAAACAAAGUAUUCCUUGUCAAAGAGAGUAGUUGACAUAUCAGCCUCCAAAUUUGAAGUUUGGCCAACUUGGAGUGUCACAGCAAGAGCCGCCAAACUUCCGGUGAGGAAGGAAUUCAUCCACACCAUUGCGCCAUUGUUCUUGAAUCGGAGAAGAUCAGGAACAUUAAGUUUGAACGAUUUUGGGAAUGGAAACAGCAGAUCGCGAUGAGAGGGUUGCAGAUCUGGGUUUUUAGUUGACUCUUUUAAAGGUUUUUUCCCCCAAUACAUUGAUCCUCCUUUUGUAUUGUUUUAAGUUUGUUCUUUUAUGAGUGUUACUUUGAUUUUUGUUUCCUUUAUUGUAGUGUGUUUUGAGUCACUGGAGCUUCUGCAGGUAAUUUUGAUCUUCUAUUUUUGUUUAUCAUACAAUCUGCAAGCUUGGUUGUUUAGGUAUUUUGAGUUUGCUACAAACUAAGAACUCUUAUUGCUUAGAUCCCUAGUCUGAUGAACUCUAAGUGUGGAUGAGAUUCCAAAGUUAUUUCGUGGCCUUUUGUUGUUGUGGGUUGUUGUAAGACCUGUAUUUUGAACAAUCUAAUUAUUAAGUGGUUCUUUUAGUGGCUUUAGUUGGCUUCCUAUGUAGUGUGGUUUGAGUUGAGUGUAGAGACAAGUUAAUAGCUUACUUUGCAUGAAAGACAUGUAAGUCAUGGGGUUAAUAGCUUAAUUUCCCAUGUGUAUCACUACAGGGUUUCAGUUUUGUAUCGUUUUUAUUAAUGGUAUGGAAAUCUUUAUUUGCUGAUAAAAAAGAAGCAGCUUAAUUUGCAUGAGUGUACGAAUAGCUUAAUUUGCAUGGAAGACAUGUAAGUCAUGUGGUUGUGUGUACACAUGAAGGCCUGAUGCAAUGUGUGCAUUUUGUGAGUUAUAGAUAUGUGUUUGCUUCUUAUGGGAAGAGAGAGAGAAAUGAACAAGUGUUAACCUUUUGGACUAUUCUUUGUGACUCAAUAGUUUCUUAUGAAGAUGAGAAUGUGGAUCUAGAAGGAAGGAAAGGGAGAGAACAAAAAGGGAAACGAAACUCUAGAUAGAGUUUUGGUGGUGGUAGGGCUAUGGCCUGUGAGAUGUAGAGUGGUAUUAGGAAUGGCAGUGAACUUGUGUGAUAAGUUCUGUUGUGCUGAUUUCAAGCUCAAACAUGACAUAUGCAUUUUCUUAUGAUCUGCUGCUGGUUACAAUCCAGUAAAAUACCUUAGUCAUUCCGUCUUUGAUCCUAUGCGUGGUAGUAUACAGAUGGUGUUUGAGCUUGAAUUCAGAUGCUUUAGUCAUUCGCUAUUUGGCUUAAUUUCUAGAAUUAGCGAAUUAGUUUUUUUCUUUGAGGUUAAAAGUUAUGGAUACUCUAAUUAGUAAAUUGGAAAUAAGACUUCCGUCCUAGAAUAAUGGAGUCUAAUUGCAUUAGGUUUUAGCUUUUUGGUGAAAAAAGAAGGCGGCCAAAUUGCUUACUAUUGGAGAGAAGCUUGAAUAAUGGAUGAUAGGUGUAUAUCUUUGUGUUAAAUGUGUGGGCUUGCUUUUUUUUAGUAAAAACUUGUGCAAGUGUGUGUUAAAUGUGUGGGCUUGUUUCUUUUUGGUAAAAACUUGUCCAAGUGUGUGACUACGUUUUCUUUUGUUCAGAGCAAUGAGGAAAGGAUUUACAUGGUGGCUGUUCUAACCAAACCCUCAAUGGCCCUCUCAAUGUUAGCGAGUGGAUAGGUAACUUCAACUCUGUUUAGUUGGGUAUCUCUCAGUCUCUUCUUGGGAUUGAGUUGUAGUUGGGGUAUUUUUGUUCCCCACUCAUUCUUUGGUUCAUAUUUUGUUCGUGGGUUUGAAAAGGUGUACUUUAUUAGUUUGAGUGUGGUAAAAAAUAUAACUUCGUAGGAAGAUGAAACUAUGAUCAAACCCCCAAAAAACUCUUAGGAUGUGAAGUAAGGCACGAUAGAUUUAUAAGCACUGAUUCAUGAUAAAAAUCAGUUGUCAUACACUUGGCCAUUCAAGUAAGGCAUGAUAGUUUUUGUAGACUGUAUAUGCUUCAAAUGAACGCAUGCAUAAUUCAAUCAGCGAGUUAUCUACUUUAAGUUUCGGCCUCGACCUUUCAGACAUAAAGUCCCUUUCUCAACUACUCUUUCCUUUGCAUUUUGCUCAUCAUUCUAUUAUCCUUUCUAUUAAAUGAAAUAUAGAAGGAAAAUAGAAGGAUGGCAAAACUUCAAUUUAUAGAUAUCAUCUAUUGAUGGAACUUAGGUUUUGAGGUUUCUCGAUGUCCUAACUCCUGGUUUACCUUUUACUUUUGUGGUUAUUUGUACCGAUAAUGUCACUUCCACUUUUAAAAUUUGGCAAGCUGAUAUUUUAGCAUGUUGUCUACAUUUUGUCUUUUAUUUCCUCACAUGGAUGUUAUUUUUCUAUGCAUUUGUUGUGUUAAGUCGAUUGUUUUUUAUUCUGUUAUGUUGCUCUAUUAUGACUCUUGGUGACUUAUUCAUUUUGCGGGUUCUGUGAUAUUCUUUAUUCUUGCAUGUUUGGGAUUGUUUAAUAUCUAGUAAUUUAAGCUGAAGUGUUCUACUAGCUUUGUUUUGGAUUCUUUUUCUUUUUUUAUUCCUACCUUGCUUUUUCUUUAUAGACGUGCUUUCUCGUGGAUUCUGUUUUCUAUUUUCUCCCUGACUUGCUUUUCUUUAUAGACAUGCUUUCUCGUGGAUUCUGUUUCCUAUUUUCUCCCCGACUUGCUUUUCUUUAUAGACGUAAAUAGUCAUUCCCAUAAUGUCUUAGUUGUUGGUGUUGUGAUCGGAUAGACUUUAUUUGCCUGUAAAGAAAAUUGAUGGAAUUUGUUUGUCCAUGUGCAACCACUCUUGCAUCAUCACCAUGUAGAGAUAUCUUAUUAAAGUAUGGUAUCCACUAUCCAAUUGUCCAAUUAAUUAUGGGUGUGGAAUAACAUAAUUGACUGUUAUGUACUAUGGCAAGUUGCAUUUGGAAAAUUAAGGGCAUAUUGUGGUUUGGUUUGAAUGGGAACUUUGAUGCAUACAUUAUUCGAGGAGAGUGUGUGGAAAAGACUUCUUUUGAACAAAUGGAGUUAGGAGGAGCAAAAGAGCUACAUUUUGUCUUACAGCUUCAACUUUUGGGGUACAACAUGAGUAGGUUUACAUACCCCGCCCCAACUGCCGAGAUAUCUUGCCCAAUUGAUCAUUCAUUUGGUCAUAUGUAGGAUUAAAAGCCAGGUAGGCGCGUGCCUCCCUUUACUCAAUGCUCCUGAAGUCCGAAAGGUGCCCUACAACAUAAGGUGUGGACAGGCCCUGAAAUAGUAUUCUUGGAUAACUUUUCAUACCUGCUUGUACAAAUAAGUCAAGCUUUGGUACUUGCUCUUGACGAAGCUAACUUGGCUUCCUCUGGACGGAACUUAAGCCUACGCAGGUGGUAGUAAAGGAGGAACAAGAUGUACAAUACUUUAGUCUUUCUCAUAAAGGUCAAGCUUUCCUCUCUUCUUUGGUCAUGUUGUGCUAUUUGAACUUUUGAUAGAUCAUAAUAGUUCUUGAUUUGUUAUUUCCAUAUUGUGCUUCGAGGAUAGUUUACAAAGAUGACACUAGCAAAGACCUGCUUGAAUGAACUUUUAGGGCAUCAACCGCCCCCACAUUUCCAAUGUAAGUGCUUCGCACUGUAUUGUGAAGAUGAUCAACUAACAUAUUUAUGCUUCCCCAAGAUAUUUUGGGAAUCAUUUGCUUGAGUAUGUUGUGAAGCACAGUCCCACAUCGCUUGGGUACCAACGCAAUAUGAAGAAUAUAAGAGUAAGGCACCCUCACUAAAAUAGCUUGCUUUUGGGGUUGGGUUCUACUCAAGACCGUGUAACAAGGUAUCAGUAUCAGAACCGGGUACGCCAAUGAUGGGUAGGGUGUGUGUCCCUGGGUUGCCCGUGGCAGGUGUUGCUGAGUGAGCAUGCUGGGUGUGAGGGAGGUUGUGAAGUGAAUUCCCACAUCGCUUGAGUACCAAAGUAAUAUGAAGAAUAUAAGCGUGAAAGCAUCCUCACUUCAAUAACUAGCUUUUGGGGUUGAGUUCUACCCAAGACCGUGUAACAUGUGUAAAUUGGAGUUUGUGAUAGUGGGUGCGUUAGUAGUUAUUUGUGAGUGUGUUCUUCCUAUACUUUCUAUCCGGUUGAGUGGAAGUUUGUAGUUUGAAAAUCAGAGAGUACGAGUGUUUUGGGUGAACUGUUAUUUGUGAGUGCUCAAUUUGUGUGGGACGUGAAUACUUGGAGGUAUUCGUGCGCUUGCGACAAUGGGUGUUUGUGUGCUUCUAUGUGGGUGCGUGUUUGCAACUAGUUAUCAAUGAUUUACUUUCCCGAUACUCUAUUUCUUGGUGUUGCAGACAAUUCAUUUUUGGAAUAUGUUUGAUAGUGGAAACUCUGGUGGUUAGGUUGUAGGCAUAUAUAGAGGGAUCAUUCUACCGCAACUAACAGAAUCCAGCUUUUGUUUUAUUCGUGACGGUGUAAAGAAUUUCCUAUAACAAGGAGUGUGGUCCAAUGUUGUUGGAUUGGCGUUACCUUCUUGGAUCUUAGCAUGGAUGUUCACUUAUAAGUUUUCACACUUGACAGGCUUACGUCACUUGUAUCUAAGGUGCUGAAUAACUUAUUGAGACACCAAAAGUUGAGGCUGUUGUAAUGCUAUUUCCUACCCUAAGACAGUAGUCAUCGAGGUUGGUUGGAAGUAUCGGGUCUAGCAUUUGCAGCAUGCUUGAGUGCUGCUCCAACAAAUCUCUCAAUUUUCUUAGGUGCAAGUUCGAGUUGCAAAGUAAUUCUUGUCCUUUGUUACUGAUUUUUCCUACGCUCACUUUUUGGUUUACGAUUUCUCUAAUGUGCAAAUGUCUACAUGUUUAUUUGUUGCUAUUGGUGUCAGCAACAAAGAUUGACAAGGAAGGUGAGCACAUAGAACUAUGUGCCUUUAAUUUUAAUCACUAUUUUGUGGCUUUGUGUGACUGGAAUCUACUAAUUAACCAUUCUCCUAUAUGAUACUAUUUUUCGCAUUGCACUACAGUCAUGCUAAUCUAAAACAUGUUUUCACAGCCAAAGUUUGGUAUGGGUCAUAUAGAAUACGUGGUAAGUUAAGUACGUAACAUUUGGUAAUUGAGUUAGGUACUAGUCAACUUUGUUGCAUUUGAAGUCACAUUGAACCAUGAAUUGGUUUUAGAAUUUCAAAAGAUCUUUUUUGAUCGAACUUUCAAAAGAUCUUACUGCCUGAAAAAUAUCAUUUUACAUGCUUGUGCUUUAUCAAGUAACUAUUUUCGCUUUUACAUAUAUUAGUACAAAGUUGUGAGCAUUUUAGGGGUGUUAAGGCAAUUUUUUUAAGGAAUAAAUGGGGAUGACUUGAAUUAUUCGUUUUUUAUUUUAUGAUUUCAGGUUAUGUUUGACAUUAUUUAUGGUCAUAGUUUCUAGCAACUUGUGUUUGAAAUUGGAUUUUUUUUUUGCAUAUGUAUGUCAGCUUUGUAUUCAUUUUAGUUGCAACGAAUGCAAAACUAUACCAAUAUGAAGGGAGAGAACAAGUUGGUGUCUGCCUCUUAUCGAACCCAUAUUAGGUUUUUUUUAUCAUACCCACUCUGCCCUCUAAUGACCACUCGUAUGUUCUUUCUAUUUUUUUUUUUUUUUUGAACUACUUCAAUAAUUUCCUUAAACUAAAUAUCCAUAAUCUGCAAUAGCUGGACGGGAUAAACUGAGAUAACUAAUUUUUUAUCUAGUAAAAAUUGUUAAAAAAAAUGCCAUUCUCACAAUUUCCGCUUCUCCUUUCUCUUUUCCACUUUGAGGUCUAAAUACACAGUUUUGGCCCACUUCCUUUCCUAUAUAUAAAGCAUGAAGAUGCAUAGAAUAGUAACUUUUCGUCCCAUGUGAUUUUACUAUGUUGAACUUCUCCAUCGUUUUGUUUUCUGGCUGUUUGAGGGUAUUUUGGGGAUGUUUUCUAUGUUUGACUACUAAACCGGACUUUUGUAUUUAACCACUUGGUACACGCAAUUCUAACUACUCUCUGUGCCAUGUCUUUUCGUUUCCCACUUAGGCCAAAAAACCUUCAAUAGUAAAAUUGAAGAGAUGUACAAGCCAAUUUUAGGUUGAAUUUUUGUGGAAUAGUUUAAAUUUGCUAGGUUUUGUUUGGAAUGGAAAUUCUAAUCAGUCCUUCGCCUUCUCUAUCAUCAUUGUUCUUGGAUUUUCUGCAGCCAAUAUGUGACAACUCUCUUUUGCAGUAGAUAGACUCAAUGCUCUCUCGCCAAUAAAUCUAACUUUUCUAGACCUCUUGAUCUAUCUUUCCUAUCACCGUUCUUUCCGUUAUAUUACUUUUCCUCUUCUCCAACGAAAAAAAUACUUAAAAAAAUAUGUACUGUUCUUUCUUUUUCAUUUUUGCAAAUGUCAGCGAGUUAUGUAUUGGGCUUUCUUUUAUUUCAUGUGUAUUUUGUUUGUUCUCUGUGUAGUUUCGUAGAUCCAUCACCUCUGCAAUGUUCAAGUGUUAUCGAUGAUGGAAUCAGUGACCGAAAAUUGCAAAAUCGAAAACGUUGCGUCAUCGUCGCAAGACAAACCUGAACUGAUCUGGUCUCGGCCAUAACCGAUGUUUUUUCUCCAUAAUGCUUGUUGCUAGAAGGCGCAACGACGACACAAGAAGAUGAUCGAAAUUUGUAAAGCUAAAGCAUGGGAGUUCAAAUGAGGAGGGAAAAGUACAAAUGAUUCAAGAUCAUUUAUGAACACUAUAAAGU